GGGGAAUAUUGCACAAUGGGGGAAACCCUGAUGCAGCGACGCCGCGUGGAGGAAGAAGGUCUUCGGAUUGUAAACUCCUGUUGUUGAGGAAGAUAAUGACGGUACUCAACAAGGAAGUGACGGCUAACUACGUGCCAGCAGCCGCGGUAAAACGUAGGUCACAAGCGUUGUCCGGAAUUACUGGGUGUAAAGGGAGCGCAGGCGGGAGAACAAGUUGGAAGUGAAAUCCAUGGGCUCAACCCAUGAACUGCUUUCAAAACUGUUUUUCUUGAGUAGUGCAGAGGUAGGCGGAAUUCCCGGUGUAGCGGUGGAAUGCGUAGAUAUCGGGAGGAACACCAGUGGCGAAGGCGGCCUACUGGGCACCAACUGACGCUGAGGCUCGAAAGUGUGGGUAGCAAACAGGAUUAGAUACCCUGGUAGUCCACACCGUAAACGAUGAUUACUAGGUGUUGGAGGAUUGACCCCUUCAGUGCCGCAGUUAACACAAUAAGUAAUCCACCUGGGGAGUACGACCGCAAGGUUGAAACUCAAAGGAAUUGACGGGGGCCCGCACAAGCGGUGGAGUAUGUGGUUUAAUUCGAAGCAACGCGAAGAACCUUACCAGGUCUUGACAUCCCGAUGACCGGUGUAGAGAUACACCUUCUCUUCGGAGCAUCGGUGACAGGUGGUGCAUGGUUGUCGUCAGCUCGUGUCGUGAGAUGUUGGGUUAAGUCCCGCAACGAGCGCAACCCUUGUUGCUAGUUGCUACGCAAGAGCACUCUAGCGAUACUGCCGUUGACAAAACGGAGGAAGGUGGGGACGACGUCAAAUCAUCAUGCCCCUUAUGACCUGGGCCACACACGUACUACAAUGGCGGUUAACAGAGGGAAGCAAUACCGCGAGGUGGAGCAAAUCCCUAAAAGCCGUCCCAGUUCGGAUUGCAGGCUGCAACCCGCCUGCAUGAAGUCGGAAUCGCUAGUAAUCGCGGAUCAGCAUGCCGCGGUGAAUACGUUCCCG
rnacentral:rRNA from 1 species